GGCCCGCACAAGCGGAGGAACAUGUGGUUUAAUUCGAUGAUACGCGAGGAACCUUACCCGGGCUUGAAAUGUACCUGGCAGCCGGCAGAGACGCCGGCCUCCUUCGGGCAGGUAUGUAGGUGCUGCAUGGUUGUCGUCAGCUCGUGCCGUGAGGUGUCGGCUCAAGUGCCAUGACGAGCGCAACCCCUUCCGCCGGUUACCAUCGGGUAACGCCGGGGACUCCGGCGGCACUGCCAUCGCAAGAUGCGAGGAAGGCGGGGAUGACGUCAAAUCAGCACGGCCCUUACGUCCGGGGCCACACACGUGUUACAAUGGGGGGCACAGAGAGCAGGCCGCCGGCGACGUCGGCCGAAUCAGGAAAUCCCCUCCCAGUUCGGACUGGAGUCUGCAACCCGACUCCACGAAGCCGGAUUCGCUAGUAAUCGCGCAUCAGCCAUGGCGCGGUGAAUACGUUCCCGGGC
rnacentral:rRNA from 1 species